rnacentral:rRNA from 1 species
AUACAGAGGGUGCGAGCGUUAAUCGGAAUUACUGGGCGUAAAGGGUGCGUAGGUGGAUUGGAAAGUUGGAUGUGAAAGCUCUGGGCUUAACCUAGAAAUUGCAUUCAAAACUUCCAGUCUAGAGUACAGUAGAGGGUAGUGGAAUUUCCGGUGUAGCGGUGAAAUGCGUAGAGAUCGGAAGGAACAUCAGUGGCGAAGGCGACUUCCUGGACUGAUACUGACACUGAGGCACGAAAGCGUGGGGAGCGAACAGGAUUAGAAACCCCAGUAGUCC